rnacentral:rRNA from 1 species
AGCCAACCUUGAAAUACCACCCUGAUUUAUUUGAGGUUCUAACCUUGAUCCGUGAAUCCGGAUCGGGGACCGUGCAUGGUGGGCAGUUUGACUGGGGCGGUCUCCUCCCAAAAGGUAACGGAGGAGUACGAAGGUACGCUUAGGGCGGUCGGACAUCGCCCAUAAAGUGCAAUGGCAAAAGCGUGCUUGACUGCGAGACCCACAAGUCGAGCAGGUGCGAAAGCAGGUCAUAGUGAUCCGGUGGUUCUGUAUGGAAGGGCCAUCGCUCAACGGAUAAAAGGUACUCUGGGGAUAACAGGCUGAUACCGCCCAAGAGUUCAUAUCGACGGCGGUGUUUGGCACCUCGAUGUCGGCUCAUCUCAUCCUGGGGCUGUAGCCGGUCCCAAGGGUAUGGCUGUUCGCCAUUUAAAGAGGUACGUGAGCUGGGUUUAAAACGUCGUGAGACAGUUGGUCCCUAUCUGCCGUGGGCGCUGGAAUUUGAAGGGGCUGCUCCUAGUACGAGAGGA